GGGCGCAAGCCUGAUGCAGCGACGCCGCGUGAGGGAUGGAGGCCUUCGGGUUGUAAACCUCUUUUAUCGGGGAGCAAGCGUGAGUGAGUUUACCCGUUGAAUAAGCACCGGCUAACUACGUGCCAGCAGCCGCGGUAAUACGUAGGGUGCAAGCGUUAUCCGGAAUUAUUGGGCGUAAAGGGCUCGUAGGCGGUUCGUCGCGUCCGGUGUGAAAGUCCAUCGCUUAACGGUGGAUCCGCGCCGGGUACGGGCGGGCUUGAGUGCGGUAGCGGAGACUGGAAUUCCCGGUGUAACGGUGGAAUGUGUAGAUAUCGGGAAGAACACC
rnacentral:rRNA from 1 species